rnacentral:rRNA from 1 species
GGGGAAUAUUGGACAAUGGGGGCAACCCUGAUCCAGCCAUGCCGCGUGUGUGAAGAAGGCCUUUUGGUUGUAAAGCACUUUAAGCAGUGAAGAAGACCUAACGGUUAAUACCCGUUAGCGAUGACAUUAGCUGCAGAAUAAGCACCGGCUAACUCUGUGCCAGCAGCCGCGGUAAUACAGAGGGUGCAAGCGUUAAUCGGAAUUACUGGGCGUAAAGCGAGCGUAGGUGGCUUGAUAAGUCAGAUGUGAAAUCCCCGGGCUUAACCUGGGAACUGCAUCUGAUACUGUUGGGCUAGAGUAGGUGAGAGGGAGGUAGAAUUUCAGGUGUAGCGGUGAAAUGCGUAGAGAUCUGAAGGAAUACCGAUGGCGAAGGCAGCCUCCUGGACGAAGACUGACGCUCAGGUGCGAAAGCGUGGGGAGCAAACAGG